UACGGAGGAUGCGAGCGUUAUCCGGAUUUAUUGGGUUUAAAGGGUGCGUAGGCGGGAUGCCAAGUCAGCGGUCAGAUACGGGGGCUCAACCUGCGUCCGCCGUUGAAACUGGCGUUCUUGAGUGGGCGAGAAGUACGCGGAAUGCGUGGUGUAGCGGUGAAAUGCAUAGAUAUCACGCAGAACCCCGAUUGCGAAGGCAGCGUACCGGCGCCCAACUGACGCUGAAGCACGAAAGCGUGGGUAUCGAACAGG
rnacentral:rRNA from 1 species